UACGUAGGGGGCAAGCGUUGUCCGGAAUCAUUGGGCGUAAAGCGCGCGUAGGCGGCCCGGUAAGUCCGCUCUGAAAGUCCAGGGCUCAACCCUGGAAAGCGGGUGGAUACUGCCGGGCUAGAAUCCGGAAGAGGCGAGUGGAAUUCCUGGUGUAGCGGUGAAAUGCGCAGAUAUCGGGAGGAACACCUAUGGCGAAGGCAGCUCGCUGGGACGUUACUGACGCUGAGACGCGAAAGCGUGGGGAGCAAACAGG
rnacentral:rRNA from 1 species